rnacentral:ncRNA from 1 species
AAAAUAAGACAAAAUCCAACGAAUUUUGAAUGUCGGCUUUGUCGACAGCCCCGAAGGGGUGAGCAAGUCAGCUAUGUUGAAUUGCGAAUAACAGCGAUUUA